rnacentral:rRNA from 1 species
UGGAUGCCUUGGCAGUCAGAGGCGAUGAAGGACGUACUAACCUGCGAUAAGCUGUGAGAAGUCGGUAAGAGACGCUAUUACUCACAGAUUUCCGAAUGGGGAAACCCACCCAGCAUAAGCUGGGUAUCCGUUAGUGAAUACAUAGCUAACGGAGGCGAACCGGGAGAACUGAAACAUCUAAGUACCCCGAGGAAAAGAAAUCA